ACGUAGAACCUUAGACACUGAUAUUGCAAUCAAAUUUAGUAUUAGGGCCUCACUUUAUUGCCCUCCUACAUAACAAAUGCAGCCACGGUGUGAACUUGAUUUCACUUUUCUCUCUUUCCUCCCACCAUCCCCCCUACUUUUACUAAUAAAGCCACAUUCCCUGCUGAUGGAAAAUUGUCGGUUUACCUCAAGCUGCGGGGGGCCUGGCAAUCAGGCCUUAGAAAAGCAGUGCCAGGUUAACCUGCUGUGAUAGUGGACUCUAGGGACAGUGCCCCACCUCUGCUUGACAUGCAGGGGCUCUGCUCACCAAUAAGAGGCAUGCCUGAUGCACAAUAGAGUUGUUACCAGCCUCUUCAAUUUAACAUUAUAAACAACAACCUUCUGGUCAGAACUAUGCAUGUCUAAAGUCGUUUCAUUAUUUCCCACAUCCUGCCUGAUUGAAUUUGUGCUUUUGAUUGUGAUAAGAAUAGUGUAUUUAUUAAUUUUUUUAUCGAAUCUUUUCUUUCUUUCCGUUCCUACUUCCUAAUUUCAUGUGAAUUCUUGAUUGCUCUGAUUGCUUCGGUACCUUCUAGCUAAGCCAACAAUGGUGCCAUACGUUAGUUACACAAAGGCAUAGUCUUUGAGAGUCAAUCUUGCCCAUCUCCUCGAGGAACUGUUAAUGGGACACUUACAGUAUGGGGGUUCACAAGUCUAGAAUGGAGAUGUGCAAUAGCAACUCGCAUUUCUACACCUUCCCUCUGAACUAUAGGUCCAAGCUGAGCAUAAGGAAUCACGCGACUUAACAAUAGAUUGUAAGGCAGAGGAGCUUCAAGUGGUUCUUAACCUGAGCACUCCGAAGCUUUUUCAAUGCAGAUGCUUUCAGAAUCACUGUAAAAGUGCUGCAAAUGGACAAUUUACCUGUUGUUUUGAAGCGUGACUGCACACAGGAGCAUUUACGUCACAACACAUAGUCAACACUCAGCCAAAUUUAUUUUCUUGUAGAGCCCAGAGAGAGUGUUUUAGAACAGGUUAUGCCGCUAUUGUCUGAAGCUACCAACGCUUCCUCCGAGUAAAUUGCAGCUACAGAUGGAGGAGCAGUUUACCCACAGAAGGGGUCAUUAUCAAUCAGGCUCCGGAGCAUGUAGUGUUGGGUCAUUUUAUCCGGCCACGGCUUCUGUGAGACUGAAGUGUACACCUGGCAUGGUGUCAAGAAUCGGGGUGUCAUUUGCAAGCUAAUCACAUUUUUCAUGCAAGCCCCUUCGUAUUGACUUGGCCAUAUUUGAUUUAAUGAAGUGAAUUAAUUAGACUGAAUUGAAUUUAGGAACUCUUCAGAUAGCAGGAAAAAUUAGUCGGGCAACCAGUUUGUGAUGUGUCACAUUCUGCUUUGCUUCUUGUUUCUGUCUUCGUGCCUCUCAGCUACAGCCUACUUCUCUAUGCUCAAUUAAUAGCCACUGGAUGGCAUUUUUAGGGUCAAUGAGGAGCUUAUUUCUCAUGAUGUGAUAAUUAUGGUAAUGCUUGAAAGAUGUCUAAGUUUUAUUUAGAACGUCAAAAUUAAAAUAUUGGUAAUAUAUCAGAAAACAAACCAGUAUUUGCCCUCAUAAAGGAGCAGAAAUGUCAUUUUUGUGCUGGUAAUUGGUUGGUUCAGCUACACUUUUAUCCAGAUGAAAAUAUCAACAAACAAUUUUCCAUAAACAUCAAAUUGCAUUGAAUCUGCAGCAUCUCCUUACUUUAGGUGUCCAUGUUGUUCACAAUGAGAAAUCUCUCUCUAGAAAAUAAUGAGUCUUAUUGUGAAAGAGGGCUUGUUUUUGCAAAAUAAAAGCACAUUUCCAAAGAAGCUGGAAACAGCUGGAUAUACACAAAAACAUAAAUUGAAAAAUGAUCCUUUAUAAUUCUUUCUGUGCCAUGUCUACACAGAUGCCUUUAGGGUUAAGUCCCUUCGUGGGAGUAAAUGUAAAGUUAAUGCUGUGUUUUUGUUUUUUGUUUCGAAUGUUGUGAUGGCAACAAGUGGCUCAAAAAGCUUCUUUGCUAUACGUUGCUGCUGUUGUGAUGCAGUUGGUGAUAGAUUUCUUCGUAUAUGCAUGCUGUUGUCUGUUACUUAAUUAGCCUCCAGUUUCAGCACCACAUGCUCCUCAGGUACAUUUGUUUGUGUUUGCAGCUGUGAGGAGAGUUUGCAGGUGUCGUUUGUGCUUGCUGUAUUUAUAUUUGUUUAUGUAUAACCUUCCACGCACAUGAGAAGGAAGUUCUACAUCCUCCUCUCGUUUUUCUUUUAUUGCCGUAGUCACACUAACAUUUACAAAUUAGACAGUAGGUGCAACAAAGUAUAUUGAAAGUAGCACAAAACAAAAAACUAUAUAUUCAUGUAAACUGGAGGAAUGUGUGAGGAGGAGAAAAGAUUAAAUAUAAUAAAUAAAAUUCUUAUUUUCAUCUAUGUUGCAAACCUUUCAGAGGCGCUUUAUUCCCAGCUUCUGUCACUGGACUGUCACCACAGCUUCUGGGAUCAAGCUCUUAUGUUCGCUCGCCCCUGUCUCCCUGCACUCAGCCACCUGAUUGCUGCAUGAGCUUCAGCUGCAGGCAAUCAGUCAGUUCCUCUCACCUGUUCCCUCAGCUAUAUAAACCCUCUGCUUCCCUCAGUCUUCGCUGGAUCAUUGUUUGCCUUUACUACUUUGCCACAGCCUCUGUUCCCCAUCUAUGGACUACUUUUGUUUCUGGACCUUUGCUGCUUCUUCCCUUUGUGGAUUACCCCUCCCUUUUGGUCACUUGGAUUACUUCAGUCUGUAUUUUGCUCCCUUGUUUGAGUUCCUCUGUAGUGUGAGUACUUCCCCUCUGCUUUGUUGUAUGGAGCCUUGUAGUGCCACAGCAUUAGUUAAUUUGGUUUUUGCCCUGCUGCCCCAGUUCUAGUUGCUGUAGUUGUGUUUUCGUUAAAUAAAAACCUUUUCCAUUA